rnacentral:rRNA from 1 species
AUUGAACGCUGGCGGCAUGCUUUACACAUGCAAGUCGAACGGUAACAGGCCGCAAGGUGCUGACGAGUGGCGAACGGGUGAGUAAUGCAUCGGAACGUGCCCAGUCGUGGGGGAUAACGCAGCGAAAGCUGCGCUAAUACCGCAUACGAUCUCUGGAUGAAAGCGGGGGACCGAAAGGCCUCGCGCGAUUGGAGCGGCCGAUGUCAGAUUAGGUAGUUGGUGGGGUAAAGGCCCACCAAGCCAACGAUCUGUAGCUGGUCUGCGAGGACGACCAGCCACACUGGGACUGAGACACGGCCCAGACUCCUACGGGAGGAAGCAGUGGGGAAUUUUGGACAAUGGGCGCAAGCCUGAUCCAGCAAUGCCGCGUGCAGGAAGAAGGCCUUCGGGUUGUAAACUGCUUUUGUACGGAACGAAACGGUCCGGGUUAAUACCCUGGGCUAAUGACGGUACCGUAAGAAUAAGCACCGGCUAACUACGUGCCAGCAGCCGCCGCAGUAA